rnacentral:lncRNA from 1 species
CCUACUGCUUCAACUUCCUAUAUUAUAUAGUCAGUCCCCUGGAGACUAUUCUUUAUCUCAGCUACUCUAUACUACUGCCAUUUACAUGGAAGGCUGCUGGAAUUAUGCAACCUUCUUGAGAAUCGAAAAGGCGCUAAGGACAAUAGGGCAAUAUAUAACCAGCCCAAUUAGAGAAAAUAGCAAGUCAAUUUCUAUCAGAGUUGUUGAUUACCAAUUCAUAAUAAUGCAAUGGAUGGCUAAGAUCAGGGCAGAGGCAAGAUACAGACAAUAAGGGGAGUGUAUUGGCUGUAGAGAAUUUUAAAACAAUACCAAGCAACUCACCAUGUUCCCAGCCUGUAGCCACCCCCACCACCUACUUUCCCUGACUUGGUACAUUACUGUUGUUCACUGUCAUCUUGUACUCAUUAGAAUGUUAAAAAUCAUAUCAUUUUUUUUUUCAAGGUAGACUUAGGGUCCACAACUAAAAUGCUGGUUUAGUAAAACAUAUACCUUUGUUUUUACAGAAGAUGUAAAAACAAACCCUUAGGAAACAGUGUGUUUAACUCUAUCUUAAAGAGUUAACACAUUAAAGUCCUUAACACAUUAGUAUGCAAUUAAGAUCACUUGGAGGCCAGGGGCGGUGACUCACGCCUGUAAUCCCAGCACACAGGGAGGCCGAGGCAGGCGGAUCACCUGAGGUCAGGAGUUCAAGACCAGCCUGGCCAACAUGGUGAAACCCUGUCUCUACUAAAAAUACAAAAAUUAGCCAGGCAUGGUGGUAGGAGCCUGUAAUCCCAACUACUUGGGAGGCUGAGGCAGGAGAAUCACUUGAACCCGGGAGGCAGAGAUUGCAGUGAGCUGAGAUCGUGCCACUGCACUCCAGUGUGGGCAACAGAGUGAGACUCCGUCUCAAAAAAAAAAAAAAAAAAAAAAAAAAUCACAUGGUGUAUGUGAAAUACAGAAUCCCAGGCAACACUCCCAAACAAUUCUAAGUGAUUCUGAUAUAGAUGCCUACAAGCCUCUUUGAAAUGCCAACCAGCUUAUAAUCAACCCUUACCCAAUUUACCAGAUUAAAAGCAACUGUUACCAACUAACAGGACAAGCGGACUCCAUUUGCACAACUGAAUAUUUAUCUUGCUAGAAUCAUUUUACCCAUGGAAAUUUUCAGGCGACUCCUAACUAUGCCUAGUAACAGUUUGAAUAUGGCUAGUAUUAAAGAAAGGAUAUACCCUUCUCAACCCUAUCAAAAGUAGGUAUCUUAGGCUGGGCACAGUGGCUCACGCCUGUAAUCCCAGCACUUCAGGAGGCCGAGGCAGGCAGAUCACUUGAGCACAGGAGUUGGAGACCAGCCUGAGCAACACAGUAAGACCCCAUCUCUACAAAAAAUUUCAAAAAUUAGGCCGGGUGCAAUUGCUCACACCUGUAAUCCCAGCACUUUGGGAGGCUGAGGUGGACGGAUCACCUGAGCUCAGGAGUUUGAGACCAGGCUGGUCAUAUGGUGAAACCCCGUCUCUACUAAAAAUACAAAAGUUAGCCAGGUGUGGUGGUGUGUACCUGUAAUCCCAGCUACUCGGGAGGCUGCGGGAGAAUAGCUUGAACCUGGGAGGCAAAGGUUGCAGUAAGCCAAAAUUGCGCCACUGCACUCCAGCCUGAGAGACAGAGCCGAGACUCCGUCUCAAAAAAUAAAAAUGAAAAAAAAAAAUAAAUAAACUGGGCCGGGCGAGGUGGCUCACACAAUCCCAGCACUUUGGGAGAUUGAGGCGGGCAGAUCACCAGGUCAGGAGUUCAAGAUCAGCCUGACCAAUCCAGUGAAACCCCGUCUCUACUAAAAAUACAAAAAUCAGCCGGAUGUGGUGGCGUGCACCUGUAGUCCCAGCUACUCAGGAGGCUGAGGCAGGAGAAUCACUUGAACCCGGGAGGCGGAGGUUUUGAUGAGCCAAGAUCACACCACUGCACUCCAGCCUGGACAAUAAAGUGAGAUUCAGUCUCAAAAAAAAAAAAGAAAAAAAAAGUAUAUAUAUAUAUAUAUAUAUAUAUAAGCUGGAUGUGGUGGUGCUUGCCUGCAGUCCCAGCAACUCAGGAGGCUGAGGUGAGAGGAUCGCUUGAGCCCAGGUUGAGGCUGAGGUGAGCUGUGAUCACAUCACUGCAUUCCAGCUUGGGCGACAGAGCAAGACCCUUUCUCCACCCCCCCCCCCACCAAAAAAAAAAAGGAAAGGUAGCUUUCAAAAAAAAUCAAAUUUUAUGAUAGUUUAGGGUCAUCCUUAAAUGUUAGUUCAUUGAUAAACUGCACUAUUAAGAAACUGCUUCCAAAUAAAUUUAUUGAGAUGUGAUGCUAUAUUAUGGAUCUAGGUUUUGACAUUUCAGGUUAAACUCACUCCAAACAAAAUAAACUCAGACAUUUCAGGAUCAACACAAAUACUGUGAUAGAAAGAUUGUAUCUUUCCAGUUUCCAAAAUUCCUAAUACCUCAAAGGCCCUAAACAUACGUUUAAAGUACUAGUCUUAAUUACAAAAAGAAACUUUCCCAAGCACUAAAAUAGUAAAAGCAGAGACUAAAUUAGUUUCUCAUGUAUACAACAGACAGGCUUAAUAACUGGAUUCUAAUGAGACUACCUUUCAAAACUGUCAGCAUGAACUGGCACCUGGACAGGUGUUCCACACCCACACUGUAUUCUCAACUGUGCACAACCAAGUACAAAGAAGCAAAUACUAUCCCAGGAUGUAAAGAGUAUUAUGCUUACAUGACUUGCAACCCUAUACACAUCGAAGGUUAGGAAAGAAACAGACAAAAAAGGAAACCCAGGACCCAAGGAAGAGAAAUUAACUCACCUGGUAGCAGACACCUACUAAACCAAAAGGUAUCAAAAUCUGAUUCAGAACAACAGACCUAGAAAGCUCAUUACUUGAGAAAAAGUGGGAUUCCAACCAGAGUCUACAAAACCGUUUUGAGAAUUGAGAUCAAAGCUACAUGACACUACCCAUUAGUAAACACAGGUUAAUUUGAUAAUAAACCAGCAAACUACUUGUAAAUUUCACUUUGUUGGUCAAAUUCUAGAAGCAGGGGUACCGAGCUCCCUGUUAAUAUUGAUUUACCUGUCCUUUUUUGUUCUCCUAAACCUUACACCAAUCACCCACCUACACAAAAAAGCUACAAAAAAUAAUCUGUGUCAUGCCCAGUCUCUUCUGAAGUCACACUAAAAACGAGUUAUCUAAAAAAACUGGGGAAUGGGGGGGAUAAUAUUUCAGGAGUUCGAGACCAGCCUGGCCAACAUGGUGAAACCCCAUCUCUACUAAAAAUACAAAAAUUAGCCAGGCCUGGUGGCGCAUCCCUCUAGUCCCAGCUACUUGGGAAGCUGAGGCAGGAGAAUCGCUUGAACCCAGGAGGUGGGGGUUGCAGGGAGCCAAGACCGUGCCACUGCCCUCUAGUCUGGGCAACAGAGUGAGGCUCUGUCUCAAAAAAAAAAAAAAAAAAAAAAAAAAAAAAAAAAAGAAAGAAGGAAGGAAAAAAACAAUAUUCUGCCAGCUGUCAGCAGUGUGGAUAUCACAGAUUACACCACAGAACACCCUGACUCCCCGCAAAGAUUUAGGAAUUGGCAGUCCAAAUACCUGUAGAAACAUAGAUGAAACAGGUCAAAAGAUCGAUUCAAAGUCGCUUAACAAUUAGUUAAACCUCCAGAUCCUCUAUACUGCUGGCAAUUGACUCCUGAACCCUGGCAGAAAACUGGAGAUGUACUCUCUUAAGCAAGUUAGAAAAGAGCUGUUGGACUGAAUAGGCACAGUGAUGAAAAUAAACAGUUUACUUUUUGAGAUCCCUCAACUUCUUUUUCCACUGGGAUCAGAAACUGACCACCUUUUCUUAUCCUUUAGGGAGGAGAGUAAGACACCUCUGGUAAGCAUGACCAGCUUCAGAAAACAAAACAAGGAAAUGUAUCAAGUGAUUUCUCAAUAAAAUGACACAGCCAUACCACCCAACAGUGAAGCCAGUGAUUGAAAAGCACCCUGCCAGACCCACACACAUAACAUUCAAUUAGCAUUUAAAAUGUUCCACUCCUAAAUAUGACCCAAGGAUCACCAAACACCUGAAGAAAUUUUCUAACAUGAAAACCAGAAGCCAAAGCAACAGGAAAACAAAGCAUCUUGGAAACAAACUUUUAAACAGGUUAUCAUUAAUAACCUUAGAGAUAAGAAAAAGGUAUGUUGAUAUUUAUUUAUAACAGAUGAGGGGGUGGUCUUAGAAACUGACACAAUUGGCCAGGCGCGGUGGCUCCCGCCUGUAAUCCCUGCACUUUGGGAGGCUGAGGCGGACAGACCACCUGAGGUCAGGAGGUGGAGACCAGCCUGGCCAAGAUGGUGAAACCUGUCUCUACUAAAAAUACAAAAAUAAGCCGGGCAUGGUGGUGUGUACCUGUAGUCCCAGCUACCUGGGAGGCUGAGGCAGGAGAAUCGCUUGAACCCAGGAGGCAGAGGUUGCAGCGAGCCGAGAUAGUGCCACUGCACUCCAGCCUGGGCGACGAGAGAACUCCACCCCACACACACACCCACACCCAAAAAAGAAACUAACACAACUUAAAUUUUGGGAUGUUUUUAAAAGUUGACAAUUAGGCAAGGUGCAGUGGCACAUGCCUGUAACUCCAGCACUUUGGGAAGCCAAGAGUUCAAGACCAGCCUGGGAAACAUAGCAAGACCUGGUAUCUACAAAAAUUGAGAAAGAUUAAAUUAACAGAAACACAUGUCCAGGGCUUAUACCCAAACAAGAAUUCCAGAGAACAAAGAUCGAGAUGGUAGAUGGGGAAAGAAGAAUCAGUUCAGUAAUAUUUCCCGUAUCUGAAGAGCAAGUUUAUACAAUGACAAGAUUCAGUGAGUGACCAGUACAAUGUAUUAAAUAAACCCAAGAUACAGUUGUGAACCAUAAGAACAAUGGUAAAAUUCCAAGUGAUUUCAGCGUUAAGAAAGAUUCCAUAUGUAAGACCAAGAUUUAAAAUAAAUUUCUGGGUCAAAGAACAGUGUAGCACACACCUGUAAUCCCAGCACUUUGGGAGGCCAA